AGCCGUACCUGGUAGCAUGGCGGCGGCUGGGACUGGGGCAACAGGAUGGCUGAGGGGAAAAGUGAAGGCCGUCACUUCCGGCGAUUGCCUCGUGAUCAUGGGGAGCUCGAAAGCCGAGAUCCCGCCGGAGAAGACUAUCACCUUGUCUUCACUCAUCGCUCCUCGGCUGGCCCGCCGAGGUGGGAUCGAUGAACCCUUUGCAUGGGAUAGCAAAGAGUAUUUGAGAAAGCUGUGUAUUGGAAAGGAGGUGACUUUUAAAGUAGAUUAUGCUGUCCCCUCCAUAGGGCGAGAGUUUGGCUCGGUUUUUCUUGGCGAUAAAAAUGUUGCUUACCUAGUUGUUUCGGAAGGGUGGGCGAAGGUACGGGAGCAAGGUCAACAGAAAGGCGAAGUUAGUCCUUUCCUUGCUGAACUGCUGCGUCUCGAGGAGCAAGCUAAGCAACAAGGUUUGGGACGUUGGACUAAGACACCUGGCGCAUCUGAAGCAUCAAUAAGAAAUUUACCUCCUUCAGCCAUUGGAGAUCCCAGUAAUUUAGAUGCG
rnacentral:misc_RNA from 1 species